rnacentral:rRNA from 1 species
CACGGGGGGAGCAAGCGUUGUUCGGAAUCACUGGGCGUAAAGGGUGUCUAGGCGGUCAGGUAAGUGAGAUGUGAAAUGCCCCGGCUUACCCGGGGACCGGCAUCUCAUACUGUCUGGCUUGAGUAUGGGAGAGGAUGAGGGAAUUCCUGGUGUAGCGGUGAAAUGCGUAGAUAUCAGGAAGAACACCCGUGGCUAAGGCGGCUCUCUAGUACGUGACUGACGCUGAGACGCGAAAGCGUGGGGAGCGAACAGG